ensembl:snRNA U6 U6 spliceosomal RNA
GUGCUCGCUUCGGCAGCAUAUAUACCUAAAAAUUGGAACGAUACAGAGAAGAUGAGCAUGGCCCCUGCGCAAGGAUGACACGCAAAUUCGUGAAGCAUUCCAUAUUAAA